GACGAACGCUGGCGGCGUGCUUAACACAUGCAAGUCGAACGGAAAGGCCCUGCUUUUGUUGGGUGCUCGAGUGGCGCACGGGUGAGUAACACGUGAGUAACCUGCCCUUGACUUUGGGAUAACUUCAGGAAACUGGGGCUAAUACCGGAUAGGAUCUCCUGCUGCAUGGUGGGGGUUGGAAAGUUUCGGCUGUUGUGGAUGUACUCGCGGCUUAUCAGCUUGUUUGUGGGGUAGUUGCUUACCAAGGCUUUGACGGGUAGCCGGCCUGGGAGGGUGACCGGCAUCAGGGGGACUGAGAGAGGGAGCAGACGGCUACGGGAGGCAGUAGGGGGGAGUAUGGCAGAACGGGGGGGAGUGAGAGACAGAAAUCUUGCGAGCGGGAAAACGGGCUUCGGGGGGAAAACAGAUGUGGACGGUGACGAAGAGGGAGUGACGGUAAUGGAUAAAGAAGCAACGGCUAACUACGUG
rnacentral:rRNA from 1 species